GUUGGGGAGAGGGAGCGCGGCUCUGCGAGAACAUCCUGUACCCUCCUGGCCUCAUCCCACACCCACGAGGACGUGGACUUGGUGGCCUCCUGCCGGGACCACCACAUCAACGAGACCAAGACCCUCAACGCUUUCAUCACCCACCACAAGUUUAAAACUAAAAUCCAGCCAGACAAGCUGCUGUAAAAGAUGCUGGUGGGGGUGCUGCAUGACGGGCCCCCAUGGUGUGUACAACCGCUGCCCGUACAAGGUCCUUUUCGGGGAGGACUCCCGCCCAGCCGC